UAGACACCAAGACAGAUCAUGUUAAACACCCCCAAUAAAGGCCCAAACUUAAUGACCACCUGUCCUAAUGUCUUCGGUUGGGGCGACCAUGGGGCAGCACAAAACCCCCAUGUGGAUUGGGAGAACAAACCCAAAACCCUUUUCCCACACUCCCACAAGCAAGAGCUACAACUCUAACUAACAGAAUCUCUGACCUCUUACGAUCCGGCUCUCGCCGAUCAACGGACCAAGUUACCCUAGGGAUAACAGCGCAAUCCCCUUUUAGAGCCCAUAUCGACAAGGGGGUUUACGACCUCGAUGUUGGAUCAGGACAUCCUAAUGGUGCAGCCGCUAUUAAG
rnacentral:rRNA from 1 species